UACAACGAAGAGUUUGAUCCUGGCUCAGGAUGAACGCUAGCGACAGGCCUAACACAUGCAAGUCGAGGGGCAGCGGGGUUUAGCAAUAGACCGCCGGCGACCGGCGCACGGGUGCGUAACACGUAUGCAAUCUACCUGUAAGUGGGGAAUAACCCGGAGAAAUCCGGACUAAUACCGCAUAACACUGUUUUUUCGCAUGGAAGAACAGUUAAACAUUUAUGGCUUACAGAUGAGCAUGCGCAUGAUUAGCUAGUUGGCGGGGUAACGGCCCACCAAGGCAACGAUCAUUAGGGGUUCUGAGAGGAAGGUCCCCCACACUGGUACUGAGACACGGACCAGACUCCUACGGGAGGCAGCAGUGAGGAAUAUUGGUCAAUGGACGCAAGUCUGAACCAGCCAAGUCGCGUGAAGGAUGACUGCCCUAUGGGUUGUAAACUUCUUUUGUGAAGGAAUAAAACGUCUUACGUGUAAGAUUUUGUAUGUACUUUACGAAUAAGCAUCGGCUAACUCCGUGCCAGCAGCCGCGGUAAUACGGAGGAUGCAAGCGUUAUCCGGAUUUAUUGGGUUUAAAGGGUGCGUAGGCGGGAUAUCAAGUCAGUGGUGAAAGUUUGCAGCUUAACUGUAAAAUUGCCGUUGAAACUGGUGUUCUUGAGUGCAGUAGAGGCAGGCGGAAUGUGUAGUGUAGCGGUGAAAUGCUUAGAUAUUACACAGAACCCCAAUUGCGAAGGCAGCCUGCUGGACUGUAACUGACGCUGAGGCACGAAAGCGUGGGUAUCAAACAGGAUUAGAUACCCUGGUAGUCCACGCAGUAAACGAUGAAUACUAACUGUUUGCGAUACACAGUAAGCGGUACAGCGAAAGCGUUAAGUAUUCCACCUGGGGAGUACGUUCGCAAGAAUGAAACUCAAAGGAAUUGACGGGGGCCCGCACAAGCGGAGGAACAUGUGGUUUAAUUCGAUGAUACGCGAGGAACCUUACCCGGGCUUGAAAUGCUAUCGACCGUCUAAGAGAUUAGACUUCCAGCAAUGGCGAUAGUGUAGGUGCUGCAUGGUUGUCGUCAGCUCGUGCCGUGAGGUGUCGGCUUAAGUGCCAUAACGAGCGCAACCCCUAUCAUUAGUUGCUAACAGGUGAUGCUGAGGACUCUAGUGAGACUGCCACCGUAAGGUGUGAGGAAGGUGGGGAUGACGUCAAAUCAGCACGGCCCUUACGUCCGGGGCGACACACGUGUUACAAUGGAGGGUACAACGGGCAGCUACCUGGCGACAGGAUGCUAAUCUCUAAAAACCCUUCUCAGUUCGGAUUGGAGUCUGCAACUCGACUCCAUGAAGCUGGAUUCGCUAGUAAUCGCGCAUCAGCCACGGCGCGGUGAAUACGUUCCCGGGCCUUGUACACACCGCCCGUCAAGCCAUGGAAGCCGGGGGUACCUAAAGUACGUAACCGCAAGGAGCGUCCUAGGGUAAAACUGGUGACUGGGGCUAAGUCGUAACAAGGUAGCCGUACCGGAAGGUGCGGCUGGAACACCUCCUUUCUGGAGC
rnacentral:rRNA from 1 species